AGGAGAGAGAGAAAGGGGAGGGACAGAGGGAGAGAAUCUCCAGCAAACUCCUCAUUGGUGUGGGCCUGCUGCGGGCCCAAUCUUACCACCCUGAGAUCAUGACCCUGAGAUCAUGGCCUGAGCCUGAGGCUUAACUGACUGAGCCACCCAGCAGAGGCUGAACAUGGAGAUGGGUGUAACCACAAGAUGGAACAGCCUGGGUGUCAGGCGUGCUUGGAAGGGAGUUGUUGGGAAGAGCCCCAGUACCUGCAGCCAACUUUGUGUGUCCACACCCUUGUCAAAAGGUGAGAAAUCUUUUGUCAUUGGUGAGAUGAUUCCAAGACAAGGCGCCAGCCAGUUUGUCUACCUGGAGCAUUCCCUGGAAACAGACCCAGUUCAUUCUCCUGUAUGAACAAAACAGUAUUGCUAUGUAGCCCUCCUGAGAAAGUUGUGCAGAGAAGUGUACCUGCUUUUCUACAACCUCACCAACUCAGAUGUGUCAUCAAACUUUUUGAUAUUUACCUAAUGGUAAAAGAUGAAAAUGAUAUUGCAUUACUUAAAAUUGUAUUUUCCUCAUUAUGAUGAAGCUAAGCAUCUUUUCUUUUCAUUUUAUUUACUUUUUGGGAAGAUUUUAUUUUUUUAAGUAAUCUCUACACUCAAUAUGGGGCUUGAACUCACAACCCUGAAGUCAAGAAUUGCAUACUUUACCAAAUAAGCCAGCCAGCUGCCCCAACAUCUUUUCAUUGGUAUAAGAUUUAUUUAAAUGUCCUUUCCUGGGAACUAUCCAUACUUUAUUUUUUGGCCCCUUUUUCUCUUGUGGGUUGGUCAUCUUCAUAUCAAGUAAAGACUCUUGGCAUAUUAGGAAAUUAGGCCUUGUCUGAUAUAUAAAUUCCAAAAAUUGGGGAGGCUUGAUGUCCAUGAAAUAAAGAUUGCAUUUCCUACACAAUAAAUACUUAAAUCUCUUUCAACCGUUGGGAGAUUAUUGCAUGUACAAAGUUCCAUUUCAGGAGAACUAAACUUCCAAAAUGAGGUUUGGCUGAGAAGAUUGUCAUGCUUUGCAAAAGAAUCAGAUGUAUAUUAUUCUGAAACAAAGAGGCGCCUGGGUAGCUCAGUGAGUGGAGUAUCUCUUGGUUUUGGCUCAGGUCAUGAUCUCAGGGUCUGAUGGAAUCCUGAGUC